rnacentral:tRNA from 1 species
GGUGGCCUGGCUGGGGGUGCGCAACGGCAUCUGGCUGCAAUCCCGGGUCAAUGAGCGGCUGUUCUACCGGCUGAUCAUCC